rnacentral:rRNA from 1 species
CCUACGGGUGGCAGCAGUGCGGAAUAUUGGUCACUGGACGAGAGUCUGAACCAGCCAAGUAGCGUGAAGGAUGACUGCCCUAUGGGUUGUAAACUUCUUUUAUAUGGGCAUAAAAUGUUCCACGUGUGGGAUUUUGUAUGUACCAUAUGAUUAAGGAUCGGCUAACUCCGUGACAGCAGCCGCGGUAAUCCGGAGGAUCCGAGCGUUAUCCGGAUUUCUUGGGUUUACCGGGAGCGUAGAUGGAUUGUUAAGUCAGUUGUGAAAGUUUGCGGCUCAACCGUAAAUUUUCAGUUGAAACUGGCAGUCUUGAGUACAGUAGAGGUGGGCGGAAUUCGUGGUGUAGCGGUGAAAUGCUUAGAUAUCACGAAGAACUCCGAUUGCGAAGGCAGCUCACUGGACUGCAACUGACACUGAGGCUCGAAAGUGUGGGUAUCAAACAGGAUUAGAUACCCUUGUAGUC